GUGGAGGCAAAAACCCGCUUAGAAGUUGGCCCGGUAAAACCCGAUCAACCCGGAGGGUCGACCCGGGACCUGGUCCACCCGGUCAAACCCGGCUGAGACCCAAUCCAUUUUUUUUUAUGCUGAUAGAUGUUAAACGACGUCGUUUUGGCCUUUGUUUUAAAGGCCAAAACAACAAAGAACAAUGAAGCAGAAUUGGGCAUAUUGAUCACAAAGCAAACCUAAUUAAUAAAAAGAUCAAUUUCAAUUGAUGAGGAGCUCAGCAGAGCAAAAGACAUCUUGAUCAUUGUUGUUUCACUGCGAAAAAGUUCUGGCAUCAUUUUACUGUUCGUUGAUUUAAUCGCAUUGAUUCAUUCGCAGCCCAGUCAUCUCAACCUCAAGUAUGUUUCUCUAUUCUUUUCUUUUCUGCAGUAUAAUAAAUCCUCUGUUAUUAGAAAGUGUUGAAAAUGGAUGAGGAAACUAGUUUUGUUCGAUGCAUUUGCUUCUGGAACUGUUAUAGCUAGAGAUUGAAACUAUUUUGUUCUAAGAACUGUUAUAGCCAGAGAUUGAAGCUGUUGUAAGAAUUAUUGGUUAUGGUUAAAAUAUUUCAUCUUCUCAUGU